rnacentral:tRNA from 1 species
CGAGACCUAACACUCUAAAGA